rnacentral:lncRNA from 1 species
GCUGUUCAAGAAAUGGGACACCGUUUUAGACGAGCAAACCCAAUGUGAAAAGAGAAUCAAAAGGUGUUCAAGAAAUGGAGAAAAUCAGAUCUUCUUCGCCGGAGAGAAGCGUCCAAAGAGAAAGCCUAGACGGAUUCUGAAACAAAUAAAGAAAGCAAGUCAGGUUCAGUUUCAAGACAAGGAGAAGAGGAUAUCAAGAUACCUGCAAAACAAAAAUUUAGCAGACAAGAAGUUCUUCUUCCCACAUCCAUGGUUUCUUCCUCCAAACCCAUUUGCACCACCACAUUCGAUUUUCCCACCAAACCCAUUUGCACCACCACCUUCUAUUUUCCCACCAAAUCCGUUUAAACCUCCACCUCCUUCUAUAUUUCCUCCAAACCCAUUUCGGCCUCCACCGCCUCAUUCGAUUUUCCCACCAAACCCGUUUCAGCCUCGUCCUUCUCCUCCUCCAUCAAUAUUUCCUCCAUUGUUUCCUCGGCCACCUCCCACUCCUCCUCCAUCGUUUUUCCCUCCAAACCCAUUUCAGCCUCGUCCUCCUCAACCUCCUCCUCCAUCGAUUUUACCUCCAAUAUUUCCUCAGCCUCCUCCUCCAGCUCCAC